rnacentral:rRNA from 1 species
GACGAACGCUGGCGGCGUGCUUAACACAUGCAAGUCGAACGGAAAGGCCCUGCUUUUGUGGGGUGCUCGAGUGGCGAACGGGUGAGUAACACGUGAGUAACCUGCCCUUGACUUUGGGAUAACUUCAGGAAACUGGGGCUAAUACAGGAUAGGAGAUCCUGCUGCAUGGUGGGGGUUGGAAAGUUUCGGCGGUUGGGGAUGGACUCGCGGCUUAUCAGCUUGUUGGUGGGGUAGUGGCUUACCAAGUCUUUGACGGGUAGCCGGCCUGAGAGGGUGACCGGCCACAUUGGUACUGAGAGACGGCCCAGACUCCUACGGGAGGCAGCAGUGGGGAAUAUUGCACAGUGGGCGGAAGUCUGAUGCAGCGACGCCGCGUUCGGGAUGACGGCCUUCGGGUUGUAAACCGCUUUCGCCUGUGACGAAGCGGGAGUGACGGUAAUGGGUAAAGAAGCACCGGCUAACUACGUG